rnacentral:piRNA from 1 species
UUAGAGGACAAAUGUAGCUUAAGAAAUUUU